rnacentral:rRNA from 1 species
AGAACGAACGCUGGCGGCGCGUUUAAGCAUGCAAGUCGAGCGGCAAGGGCCUUCGGGCCCCUAGAGCGGCGGACGGGUGAGUAACACGUGGACAAUCUGCCCCCCGGCCCGGGAUAGCCCAGGGAAACCUGGAUUAAUACCGGAUGAGACGGGACCCGCGAUGGCGGGACCCGGGAAGGCGCUGCGGCGCCGCCGGGGGAUGAGUCUGCGUCCCAUUAGCUAGACGGCGGGGUAACGGCCCACCGUGGCGACGAUGGGUAGCCGGCCUGAGAGGGUGGACGGCCACAUUGGAACUGAGACACGGUCCAGACUCCUACGGGAGGCAGCAGCUAAGAAUCUUCCGCAAUGGGCGAAAGCCUGACGGAGCGACGCCCGCGUGAACGAAGAAGGCCGUGAGGUUGUAAAGUUCUUUUCGGGAGGGGGAACAACCGUGGCAGGGAAUGGCCGCGGGAUGACGUGAAUCCCGGAAUAAGCCCCGGCUAACUACGUGCCAGCCGCUGC